rnacentral:rRNA from 1 species
GGGGAAUAUUGGACAAUGGGGGCAACCCUGAUCCAGCGACGCCGCGUGUGUGAAGAAGGCCUGCGGGUUGUAAAGCACUUUUAGUGGGGAUGAAAAGCCAAGGGCCAAUACCCUUUGGUCUUGACCUAACCCAAAGAAAAAGCACCGGCUAACUCUGUGCCAGCAGCCGCGGUAAUACAGAGGGUGCAAGCGUUAAUCGGAAUUACUGGGCGUAAAGCGUGCGUAGUCGGUUAUUUAAGUCGGAUGUGAAAUCCCCGGGCUCAACCUGGGAAUUGCAUUCGAUACUGGAUAGCUAGAGUUCGGCAGAGGGAAGCGGAAUUUCGGGUGUAGCGGUGAAAUGCGUAGAUAUCCGAAGGAACAUCAGUGGCGAAAGCGGCUUCCUGGACCAGAACUGACGAUCAGGCACGAAAGCGUGGGGAGCAAAC